UAUGUGAUCGUCUCUCGCAUAUCAAUAAGCGGAGGAAAAGAAACUAACAAGGAUUCCCCUAGUAACGGCGAGUGAAGCGGGAAGAGCUCAAAUUUGAAAUCUUAAAGGGUUUCCCUUUACGAAUUGUAGUUUAAAGAAGUGUUUUCUGUUGAGGUUUUGGUAAAAGUUCUUUGGAAUAGGACAUCAUAGAGGGUGAGAAUCCCGUAUUUGACCUUUACUUUCAACUUUGUGAUACACUUUCAAAGAGUCGGAUUGUUUGGGAAUGCAGUCCAAAAUGGGUGGUAAAUUUCAUCUAAAGCUAAAUAUUGGCGAGAGACCGAUAGCGAACAAGUACCGUGAGGGAAAGAUGAAAAGAACUUUGAAAAGAGAGUUAAACAGUACGUGAAAUUGUCAAAAGGGAAGCGUUUGACACCAGUGUUGUUUUUCUGAAAAUCAAUUAAAGAACUGUUUAUGCUAAGUUGUUUAGACUUUAUCAGCUAACUGUUUAGUUUUGAGCUUUUCUUUAAUGCACUUUUCAGUUAACAAGUCAACAUCAAUUUCUUUUGCUGUAAAAAAGCUUGAGGAAGGUGGCUUGAGAUUCGUCUUAAGUGUUUAUAGCCUCUUGCCUAUGCAGUCGGAGAGAUUGAGGUCUGCAGCGUAGAUCCUUCGGGGCUAAAUGCAUUUGUGCUAAGUUAUAGCAUUUUAUAGACAACUUGUUGACUAUGAUUUGUCUUGUAGCUUACUCGCUUAUGUUAUUUUACCUACGCUUAGGAUGUUGAAGUCAUCGUAUCGCGC
rnacentral:rRNA from 1 species